AAGUCGUAACAAGGUUUCCGUAGGUGAACCUGCGGAAGGAUCAUUAACGUAUCUCUGACGGCGAGGGUGCGCCCUGCUCCGGACCGAAAGGCCGUGCAGCGGGCGAGCCCGAGCCGCUCAACCUUUGCAAACCCACUGUGCACUUUUGUCGGCAAAGGGCCUAGCGCCCCGAGCCGGUUCACAAACACUACUUUACGAGAACGAACUGCGACCGUUGCGUCGCCUAAACUUUAACAACUUUCAACAACGGAUCUCUUGGCUCUC
rnacentral:misc_RNA from 1 species